rnacentral:lncRNA from 1 species
AUGUAUGACAUUAGUAUGACGUCUGAUUUAUAAUACAAACUCAAAUAACUAACUUAUAUAUAAAUUAUGAGAAAAUUAGUGUAUAUGUUAUAUAGAGUACAAGAUGAGAUAACUAAUACAGUACUACCAAUUUCACGACCCAAAAAUUGAGGUAAUGAUGAAAUCUGCUUGAUCCAACCUUAGUAGGUAAGGCAAUCGUCUAAAAAAAGAAAGAAGAAUAAGAAAAUUAGCUAAACCAAGAAUAAAUGAUACUUGUAGAAUGAAGUCAGGUCAACACAUGAACAAGCUUAGCAUAAGUUUGAAAUAAAUACCAUAAAACUCCCAACAUCUGGUGUCAUAAGAGUAGAGCAUCUAAAUAUAACAUAGGAAACAUGAAAAAUACAAUACCUAUCUCUAAAAUCAAGUAAAGACAGUAAGAUAUGAUGAGAUCUAGAAUCCUCUCCAAAUUUCAUGGAGCACCAGUACCUCAAAGAUCUAACCAUUCCCGCAGGAACUCAACCGAAGAAUCACGUACUCGUACUAAGUUCAUCACCUAGAGUCACCGUAGGAGUGAGUAUGGUGUAGUUGUACUUAGUAGGUAUCAUAUACCUAUUGAGUAAAGUAGAAAAUAAUACAUAUAAAGAAAGUAUUAUGAGCACGUUAUCUAUAAAUAGAAAAGUACCAAAAUAGUAGCUCACAUCAUCUGCACUAACAAUUCUAAUAUAUAUGUGUAUAUAUAUAUAUACACACACACACACAAAAAAUCAAAUCAAAUAAGGUAUACAAAAAGGUACAUAGAAACUGAUUACACAUCUAGAAAACAUAUAAAUGAAACACAGAAGAUGAAUUUACAAAUGUAAUGCAAUGAAUGUUGAUGUAAAUAGUUUGAAAUACUUCACAUGAACUAAUGUAUGCACCUAUCGAGGAUAUAUUCUCCCAAACUAGGACGCACUAGGGGUUCGCAACCCAUAUACUAUCUCAAAGUAUCCACCCACCUCUCUGGCUUGUCUUUACAGAUCAUGGUCUUGAUGAAAGUAUCUCAUUUUUUUCAUAACAUGUUACUUAAUGGUAUUUGUAUAUCUUAAAUAUGUAUGCAUGGAAUAAGGAUAUAAUUCUCACCAUCAAAUCAACGUGAAGAUAAUAUAUCCAUUAAAUGUGUGUAUAAAUAAGCCUAGAAAUCUUCUAAAUAUGUCAACAUUUCAUGAUAUCAGUCCUAGUUUGUCACCAUCAAAAAACAACAUGUAAGACAUCAUUAAUAGCAUAUCAACCCAUAACUCGGGUAUUUCCAUUAUGAUAAAGGUAAACAAUGAUCAAUAAGGCCUAUAAUAACUAUUCAAGCUUCCGCACGAGCACCACCCUAAGAAUAAAGGAAUUUAAAUGCACAAAUAUGAUCAAUGAUGUGAAAGCCUCCACAAGGGCAACAUACAAUAUAUAAUAUCACAAUUCAUCAAUAGCAAGAAUACAAGCCCAUACACGAGCACACAACAGUAAUAUUAAAAUCAAAAUACAAUUUCCAUAGUUAUAUUCCCCAAACAGUAUCAUGCUCUACCUAGUUAUUCACUAUAUAGUGUAGUCUAAAGAAAUUUAAGUCAUAACCUACCUCAAAGAAUUAAAAUCCCAGCCUAAAGUCAUUCAAUAUGGAUCUUUUCUCUUUGAACAGUCUUAAAAUCAACUAAAACAUAUGAAUAUAACAUCUACGCAUUAAAAAAAAGGUAUUGAUAUCAAUCUUGGCCAUAUUAAAGUCAUGUCCUAAAUGAAUUUGAAAAAUAGGUUCGAAAACAAAGUAAUAAAAUGAAAAUUUUAUUUUAGAAACACACUCCACAAGGUUAUAGGAGUCUAUAGCUGAAAAGCCACACGAAAAUAAGGUCAGAAUAUAUGAAAAAUUAUUUUUAAGCUUUACUGGAAAAAUUUCAUAAAUUCAUUUCAAAAUCGAGAUUAAAAGGUGUUUUUGAAGACAUAAUCAAUAUUUAAAAGAUGAGUCUAGAGAUUACCCACACAAAAAUGAUGAAGAAAUCCUAGCAAAAUUGUCUUUCGUGAAGCUUGGAGGUCUAAAAACUGAGUAAAAUCCCAAUCGCAAUGGACAAUGUUGACUUGGCCAAAAUAUUAGCCUUCGUAUCCCCGAUAGCCUAUUGAAUUCAUAAAGAAGGGAUUCCCACCCCGGAUACCAAUUGUUAUUCGCAAUCAUGAAUCCCUCUUCGCGAUCGCAAUGAGAGAAAAUAUCAUUCUCCAUGUUUGUGGUCAGAGGUCCACAUUAUGAAGAAGGAAAUGGCCUACACCAUGUAUUAAUAAUUCAACUAAAAUGCAGGUUGAAAUAUUUAUGAAUUGAUCCUUGGGAUUCAUUUGGAACCCCAUGGAUACAAACCAUAUAUUCUACUAGGCCAUUUUCGACGUUCUAUACUCAAUGGUAAUGUCAAAUUUUCGGAAAAAAAGUCUUUUUCAACAAAUUAGCCUUUGGGACCCCUUCAAAGUAAAUUUCAC